UGGGGGAUAUUGCACAAUGGGGGGAACCCUGAUGCAGCAACGCCGCGUGAGGGAAGAAGGUUUUCGGAUUGUAAACCUCUGUCCCGGUCGAAGAAAAGAAUGACGGUAGACCGGGAGGAAGCUCCGGCUAACUACGUGCCAGCAGCCGCGGUAAUACGUAGGGAGCGAGCGUUGUCCGGAAUUACUGGGUGUAAAGGGUGCGUAGGCGGCUAAUCAAGUCAGGCGUGAAAUGUGGGGGCUUAACCUCCAAGCUGCGUUUGAAACUGAAUAGCUUGAGUGGAGUAGAGGCAGAUGGAAUUUCCGGUGUAGCGGUGAAAUGCGUAGAUAUCGGAAGGAACACCAGUGGCGAAGGCGAUCUGCUGGGCUCUAACUGACGCUGAGGCACGAAAGCGUGGGUAGCAAACAGG
rnacentral:rRNA from 1 species